GAUGAACGCUGGCGGCGUGCUUAACACAUGCAAGUCGAACGGAAAGGCCCAAGCUUGCUUGGGUACUCGAGUGGCGAACGGGUGAGUAACACGUGGGUGAUCUGCCCUGCACUUCGGGAUAAGCCUGGGAAACUGGGUCUAAUACCGGAUAGGACCACAUUUUGGAUGGUGUGGUGGAAAGUUUUUCGGUGUGGGAUGAGCUCGCGGCCUAUCAGCUUGUUGGUGGGGUAAUGGCCUACCAAGGCGUCGACGGGUAGCCGGCCUGAGAGGGUGUACGGCCACAUUGGGAAUGAGAUACGGCCCAGACUCCUACGGGAGGCAGCAGUGGGGAAUAUUGCACAAUGGGCGCAAGCCUGAUGCAGCGACGCCGCGUGGGGGAUGACGGCCUUCGGGUUGUAAACUCCUUUCGCUAGGGACGAAGCGUUUUUGUGACGGUACCUGGAGAAGAAGCACCGGCUAACUACGUG
rnacentral:rRNA from 1 species